rnacentral:rRNA from 1 species
AUGGGGCUGCGGACCUGCGGCGCCAUGGAAGGCGAGCACGUUGUCGCCUCGCCUUUCUUCGAGUGGUUGAAGCCGCCGCCGGCGUCGCCGUCCUCGUCGAGAUCGUCGUCGACUUUCUCGUCCUCCUCGUCGUCUAUGGCGUCUGGGCACCAAGAGGAUCGCAGCAGCGUGGCAUGCUUGCCCCUGCUCCGCAUGCUCGAGGAGGGGAAGGGGGCUGGUGGUGACCAUGAUCACCCUGCACCUCCAGUCAAGGAAGAGAUCAUGGGCAGCGGCGCGGCCGAGGUGCUGGGGCCUGGCGUGGAUCUGAAUAUCGGCUUGCCGGUUGGUGGAUCUUGCGAUGAUGACAUCAUGGAGGAGGAGAGCCAGGAGGAAGAUGAUGACCACGACUGUGACGAAGAGGAGGAGGAAGAGAUGGAUGAGUUGGAACCUAACCAUGGCGGUUGCAAGGUGGAGGCAGAGGAGAAAGAGAAGCACGGCGAGCCGGUGGUCUCGGUGGAAGGAUCAAACAGCGUCAGCAUGCCGGAAUUCGGCGUGCUCGGAGCAGAGAGCGGCGUGCCCAUGAGCUGCGGGUACUGGAUCCCGACGCCGGCGCAGAUCCUCGUCGGCCCGGUGCAGUUUGUCUGCCAUGUCUGUAACAAGAGCUUCAACAGAUACAAUAACAUGCAGAUGCACAUGUGGGGCCACGGGCGCGAGUACCGCAAGGGCCCGGAGUCGCUCAAGGGCACGCAGACGCUGGCGCUCCUGAAGCUGCCGUGCUACUGCUGCGCCGCCGGGUGCCGGAACAGCGUGGCCCACCCGCGCGCGCGGCCGCUCAAGGACUUCCGCACCCUGCAGACGCACUACAAGCGCAAGCACGGCGCCAGGCCCUUCCGCUGCCGCCGCUGCGCCAAGCCCUUCGCCGUCAAGGGCGACUGGCGCACGCACGAGAAGAACUGCGGCAAGCGCUGGUUCUGCGCCUGCGGCUCCGACUUCAAGCACAAGCGCUCGCUCAACGACCACGUCCGCUCAUUCGGCGGCGACCACCUCCCCGUCGCCCUCGACGGCGCCCCCGCCCCCGCCCCCGCCCCCGUCGAGGACCGCCGCAUCAUACGCUUCCAACGGUGA